rnacentral:rRNA from 1 species
UACGUAGGAUGCAAGCGUUGUCCGGAAUUAUUGGGCGUGAAGAGCGCGCAGUCGGUUUGCCAAGUCAGAUGUGAAAGAGGCCGGCUUAACCGGCAAGGGUCAUUUGAAACUGACAGACUAGAGUGCAGCAGAGGAUAGCGGAAUUCCCGGUGUAGUGGUGAAAUGCGUAGAUAUCAGGAGGAACACCGGUGGCGAAGGCGGCACUCUGGGCCGGUACUGACGCUGAGGAGCGAAAGCGUGGGGAGCGAACAGG